rnacentral:rRNA from 1 species
GGUUAAGCGACUAAGCGUACACGGUGGAUGCCCUGGCAGUCAGAGGCGAUGAAGGACGUGCUAAUCUGCGAUAAGCGUCGGUGAGGUGAUAUGAACCGUUAUAACCGGCGAUUUCCGAAUGGGGAAACCCAGUGUGUUUCGACACACUAUCAUUAACUGAAUCCAUAGGUUAAUGAGGCGAACCGGGGGAACUGAAACAUCUAAGUACCCCGAGGAAAAGAAAUCAACCGAGAUUCCCCCAGUAGCGGCGAGCGAACGGGGAGGAGCCCAGAGCCUGAAUCAGUGUGUGUGUUAGUGGAAGCGUCUGGAAAGGCGCGCGAUACAGGGUGACAGCCCCGUACACAAAAAUGCACAUAUUGUGAGCUCGAUGAGUAGGGCGGGACACGUGGUAUCCUGUCUGAAUAUGGGGGACCAUCCUCCAAGGCUAAAUACUCCUGACUGACCGAUAGUGAACCAGUACCGUGAGGGAAAGGCGAAAAGAACCCCGGCGAGGGGAGUGAAAAAGAACCUGAAACCGUGUACGUACAAGCAGUGGGAGCCUCUUUAUGGGGUGACUGCGUACCUUUUGUAUAAUGGGUCAGCGACUUAUAUUCUGUAGCAAGGUUAACCGAAUAGGGGAGCCGAAGGGAAACCGAGUCUUAACUGGGCGUUAAGUUGCAGGGUAUAGACCCGAAACCCGGUGAUCUAGCCAUGGGCAGGUUGAAGGUUGGGUAACACUAACUGGAGGACCGAACCGACUAAUGUUGAAAAAUUAGCGGAUGACUUGUGGCUGGGGGUGAAAGGCCAAUCAAACCGGGAGAUAGCUGGUUCUCCCCGAAAGCUAUUUAGGUAGCGCCUCGUGAAUUCAUCUCCGGGGGUAGAGCACUGUUUCGGCAAGGGGGUCAUCCCGACUUACCAACCCGAUGCAAACUGCGAAUACCGGAGAAUGUUAUCACGGGAGACACACGGCGGGUGCUAACGUCCGUCGUGAAGAGGGAAACAACCCAGACCGCCAGCUAAGGUCCCAAAGUCAUGGUUAAGUGGGAAACGAUGUGGGAAGGCCCAGACAGCCAGGAUGUUGGCUUAGAAGCAGCCAUCAUUUAAAGAAAGCGUAAUAGCUCACUGGUCGAGUCGGCCUGCGCGGAAGAUGUAACGGGGCUAAACCAUGCACCGAAGCUGCGGCAGCGACACUAUGUGUUGUUGGGUAGGGGAGCGUUCUGUAAGCCUGUGAAGGUGGCCUGUGAGGGUUGCUGGAGGUAUCAGAAGUGCGAAUGCUGACAUAAGUAACGAUAAAGCGGGUGAAAAGCCCGCUCGCCGGAAGACCAAGGGUUCCUGUCCAACGUUAAUCGGGGCAGGGUGAGUCGACCCCUAAGGCGAGGCCGAAAGGCGUAGUCGAUGGGAAACAGGUUAAUAUUCCUGUACUUGGUGUUACUGCGAAGGGGGGACGGAGAAGGCUAUGUUGGCCGGGCGACGGUUGUCCCGGUUUAAGCGUGUAGGCUGGUUUUCCAGGCAAAUCCGGAAAACCAAGGCUGAGGCGUGAUGACGAGGCACUACGGUGCUGAAGCGACAAAUGCCCUGCUUCCAGGAAAAGCCUCUAAGCAUCAGGUAACAUCAAAUCGUACCCCAAACCGACACAGGUGGUCAGGUAGAGAAUACCAAGGCGCUUGAGAGAACUCGGGUGAAGGAACUAGGCAAAAUGGUGCCGUAACUUCGGGAGAAGGCACGCUGAUAUGUAGGUGAAGCGACUUGCUCGUGGAGCUGAAAUCAGUCGAAGAUACCAGCUGGCUGCAACUGUUUAUUAAAAACACAGCACUGUGCAAACACGAAAGUGGACGUAUACGGUGUGACGCCUGCCCGGUGCCGGAAGGUUAAUUGAUGGGGUUAGCGGUAACGCGAAGCUCUUGAUCGAAGCCCCGGUAAACGGCGGCCGUAACUAUAACGGUCCUAAGGUAGCGAAAUUCCUUGUCGGGUAAGUUCCGACCUGCACGAAUGGCGUAAUGAUGGCCAGGCUGUCUCCACCCGAGACUCAGUGAAAUUGAACUCGCUGUGAAGAUGCAGUGUACCCGCGGCAAGACGGAAAGACCCCGUGAACCUUUACUAUAGCUUGACACUGAACAUUGAGCCUUGAUGUGUAGGAUAGGUGGGAGGCUUUGAAGUGUGGACGCCAGUCUGCAUGGAGCCGACCUUGAAAUACCACCCUUUAAUGUUUGAUGUUCUAACGUUGGCCCGUAAUCCGGGUUGCGGACAGUGUCUGGUGGGUAGUUUGACUGGGGCGGUCUCCUCCUAAAGAGUAACGGAGGAGCACGAAGGUUGGCUAAUCCUGGUCGGACAUCAGGAGGUUAGUGCAAUGGCAUAAGCCAGCUUGACUGCGAGCGUGACGGCGCGAGCAGGUGCGAAAGCAGGUCAUAGUGAUCCGGUGGUUCUGAAUGGAAGGGCCAUCGCUCAACGGAUAAAAGGUACUCCGGGGAUAACAGGCUGAUACCGCCCAAGAGUUCAUAUCGACGGCGGUGUUUGGCACCUCGAUGUCGGCUCAUCACAUCCUGGGGCUGAAGUAGGUCCCAAGGGUAUGGCUGUUCGCCAUUUAAAGUGGUACGCGAGCUGGGUUUAGAACGUCGUGAGACAGUUCGGUCCCUAUCUGCCGUGGGCGCUGGAGAACUGAGGGGGCUGCUCCUAGUACGAGAGGACCGGAGUGGACGCAUCACUGGUGUUCGGGUUGUCAUGCCAAUGGCACUGCCCGGUAGCUAAAUGCGGAAGAGAUAAGUGCUGAAAGCAUCUAAGCACGAAACUUGCCCCGAGAUGAGUUCUCCCUGAGACUUAGAGUCUCCUGAAGGAACGUUGAAGACGACGACGUUGAUAGGCCGGGUGUGUAAGCGCAGCGAUGCGUUGAGCUAACCGGUACUAAUGAACCGUGAGGCUUAACCUU